UACAUCUUUUUGAAACUUACAACCAAAUCUUUUGAAGCCAACUAAUUGUUAUUUCAAAUUCCUGGCUAUUAUGCAAAUAUUCUUCGUAUUUUCACUAUUCUAGAUAUUUGUUGUUUACUCAGCAUUUACAAUAAGUGGCCUUUUACUAAACGCGAUAAACAAAAAUAUGUUUUUCGCUCUAACCUUGCCAUUGCAUCAUAAACAGUCACCGAUUUCUCGCAGGCUAGUCGGUCGUUUAGUCGGUUAGUCGGUGGAUAAGUCAGCUGGUCAGUCGGUGGAGCGAGCCUCCUGCUCACCUCGUUUGGAGCAGGUUUUCUUGAACUUCUUUUUUCUGGCCACUCGCAGUCACACAGCUGGUCACGCCCCCUCUUCCAAUGUGGAUAACCAAGUUGCUGGCUGUGACAAUUCCGAUCAUUGUGUAAUUUCUUAAGCAUCUUGGUGGAUAUCUCUUUUUAUAUUAUAUAUAUGAAAUUCAAGCCAAAACCUUUCAGGUUUUUCUGCCUAACAAUAUAGAACAGAAAACCAAGAUAAAUCGAACGUUUCGCUGGCUGAUCGAGUAAGCGAUCAAAUUACACUUUUUUUCGCUCAGUGAUUUCUCGUAAGAGUAUACGAUAGAAAGAAAAAAAACAAAGUAAGCAUUUCUAGAAUAUGUACAGACAAUUUUAUUUGCAUUAUUAUGUUCGCCCACGAUAUUGUACCACUGCAACAUAUGCAUACUUAAACUAAACUCUCUAAGUCCUGAUGUACAAAAAAAAAAAAAAUGGUUACAUAAAUAAUAAGUCAAGAAUUCAAGUUCCGAUUGAUGUACACGAAUGGGGGAAUAUAUGUAUAAUACUGCGACUGCGACCACGCCUACUUGCGCUUGAACAUGUUGCUGAGGCGUCGCUUGGGCGGCGAGUUCUGUAAAGGAAUAAGUGAACAUGAUUACACAUAACGAACAUACAUAUAUCAUCAUCAUAGAUCAUCAGCAAGAUUUGUGCGUUUCCCAUUGCUUUCGUUGCCGCUUCUAAUUGCGUCCGGGGCACGAAUAGGUGAGAAAGACGAGCCCCAUUCCCGACAAGAUGCCAGUGAUCACCAGCACUAGCUUGUCCGCCAGAUGCAAGGACAGCCCCACCAUGACCAGCAAUGCAAAGCCCAUGACCAAUCGCUGGCCAAGACUCAGAUGGCGUAGGAACCGCCUGCACUGAGCCAUUAACGAGCGGUGGCGCGUUGGCCUGCGCUGUUGCAAGUCCGAUGGUUGCUGGACAUAGGUGAUAUUGAUCUGCGGCAGCGGCUGCAUGUGCACACUGCCGAUCGAAUAGACUGUACAAGAUGAGGCGCCGGUCAUGUUGGUGGCACAGCUAGUCGUAGUGAUAUUACUGCAAGAGGCGGCCACCAGUUGUGUGAAUUUCGGCUCAACUUGCUCCUCAUCAAGCGGCUUGUAGUCCAGCGGCUGCAGCUGAAAGGGUGCCGUGGAUUCCGUCUCCUUGCACAGCUGCUCGAAGUACCAGUCGUUCUGGGUCUCCUCCAUCAUCACACUUUCGCCACCAUGCAUUGCCCAGGUGACACAGUUUUCGUGCUCAAAUUGUUGCUGCAGCAGCGAAGUCUCGCUGCGCUCCUCCACGUUGAAUGUGGUGGACACGACCGGACUCAAUCGCCUCUUGCCCACCAGCACUACCGUCUUGCCCAUCACGUUAUUCUCGCUGGGCAGGUGCUCCUCCUCGUUGCGAUUGUGUAGACUGUAAUUGUUAUUUUCGGGCGACUUGGCCGCCUGAGCAGAGUGUGAUAGGCGCAUCUGAUCCAGGUGACGGGCCUCAUCGAAGCGUCCCAUUAUCCGAUCACGGCGCAACUUCCGGCGUAGCUGCACCCUUUUCCCGGCUACGAACGACGCUGGCCGGCUCUUGGCAAAAAUGUUGCCAUGAAGGGACAGCGAAACGCGUCCUUUUUUCGACUUAGUUGUGCCAGUGAGACGCCGGGUAUUGCCUUUGGUCAGGGCCAGCAAUGCUGCAGUGGACAGAUGCGGAGUGCCCUGUUGGUCGGCGUCUUCUAGAGGCUCCAACUCUGGCACAGCAUCGGGCUCCACUUCGAUCACUUCGUCUUCGGUUUCAACAGCCUCUGAUUUGUCCGCAUCACUGGCGCCGAUCAUACGCUGCUGAUCGUAGUAGGAGCGGCUUUUGCGUGGCGUUGAUGUACAAAAUAUGUCCACCGCAUGGCGCAGCCUACGCCGGUGUAUUCCGGUCAGAAGAUUCGGCCGCUUGCGCCGCGGCAGCUGUGGGAUAGGCUAGGCGUAUUUGGUCAGUUGCCGGCUGCACUCGAGCCACAAGCGAAGACAACACGAGAACACCACGAGGACGAAGACACAAACAUGGACGAAGCACGAAAGCAAGCAACUAUGGCACAUUUGACGUUCCCAAUAAACUACAGCUUUUGACUACUCUAUUGACCAAUGACACUGAACUAUGGCACGCACAUCAAACAUAACAAUCUUCCCAAUACUUACCUCGUCCCGGGGUAAACCGCUGCUGCCAACGCUGAAUCGCUGCGUCAGGAACUUGAAGCGCGCCGGCGUCUUGGAGGUAUUGUUAUGGUCGCCGAAUUCACGCAAAAUCUCGCGUGGCGGCUCCGAGCUACCGAAUGACAAACGGCCGCCGUUCUUGCUCGGCGUGGGCGGUCCAGGUCGUUUGUAGUGGGUGCCCAUGGAUUUCUUGCGCGUUCCGGUGCUCGAAGAGCUCAGCAAAGCACUCAUGCUGUCAUCCAGACUGUGGGGUCCGUCCUGCAAAGAAUACAAACAGUAUAAAUAAGAAUUGCAGAACUGAAGACAACGAAAUUUUUGGACGGCAACUGGAUUAUUGUGACACAAAAAUAUAUAUACAACAAGGCACUGAUAAGACGAGCACACAGCAAUUUCUAGACACAACAGACACUUCUAACUACAAACGUAACGUGGACAAAAGCUCACUCGGUGUCUAGUUAGGGAUUAAGAUUAAUGGUUCUAUGGGCGACGCAAAAUGCGUGCCCACUUAGCCUUCAUGGCUGCCUGCUGUGCCUUUAACGGUGUGGUAUUUGUGCCGUGUCUGUUGCUGUUGCUGCUGCUGCUGCUGCUGCCACUACUGCCGGCGUAUCUGGCACUGGAUGUCGGAGAACUGCUAACGCUUACUUUGAGAUCUUCGUCCUGGCUGCCCAAAUCAUAUUGGGCAGCAUAAGUGCUCUUCAAAUGCGGCGGUUGCAACGAAUUCCGAUAAAUCAGCUCCUCGGCUCUGCAUGGAGAAAAAAAGGGUACAUUAAUUUUGAGCAUAGAAAUCGGGAAGACCCAGUGCGCUUACGUCAUGUCUGCCGGCACACGGCCCAAUUUGAGAUCCGUCAGGUAAGUGUUGUUAAAUACCUCGCCCUCUUCAUCUUCCAUAGCCAGAUUGGAGGACGGUACAUUGGGCCGCUUGAAGGGCUGCCAGUCAUCGUUCGGCGCCGACGAACUGGACGAAACGGUGAGCGUUGUGCUGGAUGGUUUCGUUUCGCUGAUGGGCUGCAUCUGCAGGUGACGCAGAUUGGUGCUAAUGAUCGCAUGCUGCUUCUGCUGCUCCAGAAUCUUCUCGUUCAACCGUACAAUCUGAUUGGAUAGCUUGCGUGUAUGCUCUUCGUAUUUGGCAUUCUGCAAGUAAAUGGAAUUAAUAACGUAACUUCGCAAGCAGCGAGCAUAUCUAUCUACCUGUGCGGUGAGUGCCUCCAGCUCCGACGCGCUUUUGGCCGCAUCCCGUUCCUGCUUCUCCUUCAUGCGCGUCACCUCCGCCGUAUACAAGGAACGCUACAGAUGGAUGAUGUUGUGUCAAGUGUCCGUGUGCGUGUGGGUGAACGUGGACGAGUUAGGGCAGUGUAUAUAGUCAAGUGAAGGUGCGCGUGUGGAUUUCGGGCGGCACGCAUUUUUAAAGGACGAAAAUGAGCGAGAAACAGCAGUGAGGACAUUGACGACAAUACAAACAAUAAUAAUAAAAAAACAACAAAAAAAACAUUCUUGGAAAUACAAAUCGCUCAUUUAUCAAAUAUGACUUAGUACAUAUCACAAAAUGUAAAAAACUUAUAACAAAGUCUACCACGUCAUGUGUGGCCCUAAUACACGAUAGGACUGCGCGACUUAAAGAUUACAUUGAUGCCACUUAUGUACAGGAUGUAAUACAAAAAAAAAACGAUUAAAAUAAUUAGGCCAAUAAAAAGCAGCAUUAAUUGCGGCCAUCGCCGACGGCGUGACCCCUUCUUGGGUUAUAUAUACAGUUUUCGGACCGACCGCAAUUGUGAUUUUAAAUGGGUGAUUUUCGUGGAAAGAUAUUGGGUGGAAAUAGAAAGGAAAGAUAAAGCAUUUUUAGUUUUAUUGAUAAGGAAAAGUGAAUUAAAUAAAUCUAGUUAGCUGCAAUCGCUAAAGCAAAUUUGGAAAUCUAACUAGAAUCUGCUUGGGUUCAGUAAUUGAUGAUGCAGCACGAUUAUGGCUAAUGUGAUUGAUGUGAUUGAUGCAAUUGCUAAAUGAAAUUUUAAUUAAACUUAUGUAUAACAUCUCCUCCUUCUGAAACGUAUGCAUUUUCGCAUUUUCAAACGGAUAAGAUUGAAAAUUCACUAUACAUAUAGUUUGAAUACCUGAUAAUGCACUGUGAGUCAUUUCGAGGAGCUUAAGUUUAAUAGUUUACACUGAACAUAUAACAUCAGCUACGUCCCAUUUCAAAACUAGUUAGUAGUUAAACGAAACAAUGACAUAAACAUGCAAAAGCAAAAGCAAAAAAAAAAUGGCAUGGUGCUAAAAUAGGAUGACAUCUUUAGGUUUUGUCCUCCGCAGACAGCCAAGUAAAAAAUGGAGACACCAAUUUGUACUUGGUGGCACAAAUCAUGCGAUUAAGGAUAACAGUGACAACUCGCGACCAUGCCAUUUAAUGGAAACCAGUAGUUUUCCGUUUUUGGAAUCUCGUUCUAGUAGUUCGCAGCGACUUACCAUCUUGUUUUUCAUCUUCUCCAGCUUUCCCUCCAUCUCAAGACGCUGGUCCUUUAUCUUCUUCUCGCAGCGCUUAAUCUCAUCCUUGGCAUCGCGAUACUUGGCCUGCAAUAUCUUGCAGUCUAGCGCUAGCUUUUGGUAUCUCUCCUUAUCCUGAUCCGACUCCGUUUGGCGUCCUUCAGCCGCGCUAUAUGUGUCGCCAAGAUCUCUUACGCCCUCCGCCUGGUUAGACUGGAUGGAAUUUAGUUCUUCCAACUCUUGGUUGGAAGCGAGAAGCAGCCGUUCAAGAGCUUCCACGCGAUUCCUAUAGAAUUCGAUGAGUUCACACAACUCGGCAUUUUUAUUCCCAACUUCACGAGCCGUCUCCUCCAUCCUUAGUAUCUGGGCGCCAUGCUCGAGCCGAGCGUUGUCCAACUCCCGGGUAAUUUCGUCUAAACGUCCGGUGACCACAGCCAGUUUAUUCUGGGCCUCUUCACGCUCGGCAGUCUCCGCUUCCAAGCGAUGCUGCAGUUCGACUACCUUAGGUAUAUCGGUGAUCUGGGCUAGUUGGUCCUUGACCUGGUUAUGCUCGGCGAUUUCAGUCAUUAGGCGACUCUGAACGAAAUCCAACUUACUGACUUUCUCUGCCAGCUUUCGGUUAAGAUCUUCUACCAACGAGUUGUGGGUAGCCAUCUCGGAUUUUAGCUGAUGAUGCAAGCACUCGACCUUAAAAGUUUCCACUUGCAAUUGACUUGACUUGACGUUGUCUUUUUCUUGGCAACGGUUCUCCAACUUAUUGAUCUGUUCGUAAGCAGUCGCACGCUCCUCUUCCAUCUGAGUACAGCGCAUCUCCAAUGUUUCGAUUAUGUCUUCAAGGGUGGCCAAUUUCACCUCGAACUCACGCUUUUCCUUCACCAAUCGCUCCUUGACCAGGAAAACCUCUCGCUGUGCAUCUUCCUUUUGAAGCUUCAAGUCAUCUGAUAGUUUGGUCUGUGCCUCGAAGGCCGAAUUAACCUUAGCCAGUUCUUUCCGUUCCUUCUCCAGCUCCACUUUCAGGUUAUCUACAAGCUGCUGGACGGAUUCCUUUUGACACUCCAAAUCAUCUGAUAGCUUGGUCUGUGCCCCAAUGGCAGACUUAACCUGAGCCAGUUCUUUCCGCUCCUUGUCCAGCUCCAUUUUCAGAUUAUCUACAAGCUGCUGGGCAGAUUCCUUUUGACGCUGCAAAUCAUCUGAUAGUUUGGUCUGUGCCUCAAUGACAGACUUAACCUGAGCCAGUUCUUUCCGCUCCUUGUCCAACUCCACUUUCAGGUUAUCUACAAGCUGCUGGGCAGAUUCCUUUUGACGCUGCAAAUCAUCUGAUAGUUUGGUCUGUGCCUCAAGCUGCUGGGCAGAUUCCUUUUGACGCUGCAAAUCAUCUGAUAGUUUGGUCUGUGCCUCAAUGACAGACUUAACCUUAGCCAGUUCUUUCCGCUCCUUGUCCAGCUCCACUUUCAGGUUAUCUACAAGCUGCUGGGCAGAUUCCUUUUGACGCUGCAAAUCAUCUGAUAGUUUGGUCUGUGCCUCAAUGACAGACUUAACCUGAGCCAGUUCUUUCCGCUCCUUGUCCAACUCCACUUUCAGGUUAUCUACAAGCUGCUGGGCAGAUUCCUUUUCACGCUGCAAAUCAUCUGAUAGUUUGGUCUGUGCCUCAAAGGCCGAAUUAACCUGAGCCAGUUCUUUCCGCUCCUUGUCCAACUCCACUUUCAGGUUAUCUACAAGCUGCUGGGCAGAUUCCUUUUGACGCUGCAAAUCAUCUGAUAGUUUGGUCUGUGCCUCAAAGGCCGAAUUAACCUGAGCCAGUUCUUUCCGCUCCUUGUCCAACUCCACUUUCAGGUUAUCUACAAGCUGCUGGCCGGAUUCCUUUUGACACUCCAAAUCAUCUGAUAGCUUGGUCUGUGCCCCAAUGGCAGAGUUAACAUGAGCCAGUUCUUUCCGCUCCUUCUCCAGCUCCACUUUCAGGUUAUCUACAAGCUGCUGGCCGGAUUCCUUUUGACGCUGCAAAUCAUCUGAUAGCUUGGUCUGUGCCUCAUAGGCAGACUUAACCAGAGCCAGUUCUUUCCGGUUCAUGUCCAGCUCCAGCUUCUGGCUAUCUACAAGCUGCUGUCCUUCCUGCAGCUUUGCCUGCAGUUCCUCUAGUUUUGUCGACAUAAGUACACAAUUUUCAAGUGCGUCCUCUUUGAGCUGUGUUAAGCUUUGAUUUUGAUUUCUCUCCAAGUGCUCGUUUUUCUUAGCCUCCAUGUCACAUUUAGCUUGAAGAGCUUUAAUCUGUUCUUCAUACGUUUCCUUUAUCUGGGCAAUUUUUUCAUCAGAUGACUUCAGUUUGUUUUUCAGAUCUUUCAGCUCGCACAACUUCAUGGAGAGGUUCCUUUCCGAAGCCUCCAGAUUUUCGAUUAUUUUCGCACGAAGGUCUAACUCUUUUUGCGCUUUUAACAAACUCUCAUUCAACUUUGAAUGCACGGUAUGCGAUACAGUGUUGUCCUCGCUUAACUUUGCGUUGACCUUCUCUAGGUUUUGGAUGGUGUCGUUUAGCUGUUUUAUCAAGGCACCCGAAUGCUGGUUGGUAUCCUUAUUUUCUAGCUCUACCUGUAGCUCAGCCACUUGCAUCUCCAAUUUUGCUUGAGAUUCCGUGAGCUUUUCUACCAACGACGAGGACUCCUCGUAUCGCACCUCCAUCUGGUCAUACAUUUUUAAAAAUUCGGUCAUACAAGUGCCCAGCUGCUGUGGGGUGUUUACGCCAUUGAAAUCUUGCUGAAGGCGAUCCCUAAUGGUAUUGAUAAACCUAAUGGCUUCCACAUGGUAGUCCUUUAUUUCCUGCUGUGCUAUGUCUAACCUCUGUGCCAUUUCUUUCGCAUUGCUUUGCUCCUUGCUUAGAGUAUUUUCCAGCUGGACUACCUUUUGCUUUCUCUUGAAAGCUUCUUCCUCUAGAUCUGUUAUGUAUUGCUUCACUUUUUCGGUGUUGACCUCUAGAGAAGUGAUGAAUUUAUUGCGUUUUAUUAUUCCAUUGAUGUUCUGCUUAGCGAGCUCCUCAUUUUUCGACCGAAGAUCAUCCAACUCCCGCUUGAGAUCAUCAGCCGAAAGCAAUUGCCCCUCAAUUAACAUUUCAAUAUUCUCAAACCGCUUUUCAAUAUGCAUCGAUUCCAGAAAGUUGGUCGCUGAGCCCAUGGUCGUGGAUUUCGGACAAUUUCUACUUCUUAAGAGUGUAAAGAUGCGGGUCAGAAAACGAUCAAAAUGAUUGUUAUGCUCAUCGAAUGCCAUGAUCUGUGCAUUCUUCGUUUCCAAUUCGAUCUCCGUUCUCUUUACAAAGUCUAGAUGGGAAUGCGUCAUGUUGUCAUGUUUAGCGCUGAGUUCAUUUAAUUGCUUCAGCAUCUGUGCAUACAUCUUGUUAUGUUCAUCAUGCAUCAUCUCCAGAUCGAUCAGUUGGCGUACGCGCCCAUUUAAGGUCUCCCCAUCUGGCACCAUCAUCAUCCGGACCAACUCAUCUUGGGCCGCGUUCUUAGCAAUUAGUUCAUUUCGACACACUUCAUACUUGGCUCUUAAAAGCUCACCGCACUGCUUCAAAUGCUGUGCAUGGCUUGCCGCACUGGCCUCUUUAUCUGCAAUUUGGCUGAGCAUAUUUUCAAGGUUUAUAUUCCUUUUGCGCAGCUCCUGAAUUUCAGCGCCCACAUCUUUUAUCUGCUUUUCCUUCUCGAUUAGCUGCAGAUUGAUAUCGGCCAAAUGUUGAUCCCCGCGAUCAAUUAUUGAUUUAAGCUCAGCGCAUUUAUCAUUAAGCCUUUCGUUGUCUAACUCCAGGUCGUUGUUUUUCGAUGCUAUAUCGACUACCUUCAUAUGACAACAACUCAAAAUGGUUUCACACUCACGGCUCGAUUCGAAACCCGACUCCAUUGCCUCCGGUAUUGUGGCCUCGAAUCCAUCUAGCUCUUUUGGCUGGCAUCCCAGCGAUACAGAUAACAGCUUGCAUUUCUCCAGUAGUUUUUCGACGCACACAGACUGAACGUCGCAUUCCUUCUUCAUUUGCGUACUCUUCUCCAACGUGUUAACAAAUUUACUUUCGAUCGCAGAAAUGGUGGACAACAGGGACGACGAUGUCCAUUCUACCGGAAACUCGUGAUCGAUAUUGUGCUUCUGAAGGAAACUUGAAAGGGCCUGACAUAGCUCCCGCUGGGAAUUGUUCAGAUUCAGCAGCUUCUCCUUUAGCUCGGCAUUCUCAUGCUCCUUCUCGCGCAACUGUUUGUCAAUCACGGAACUGGCCAAAUUCUCGGGCGUGGUGUUCGGCGACAGCGAACAGUCGAGUAAAUCCGAGGAUGCGUUUAAGACCUCGAUUCGGUUGUGCAAGUCGUCGCGGGCUUCUUUAAGGCACUUAUCCAAUUCCUGUUUAUCGGACUCCAGAGAGGAGAUCAUAACGUCCCUGGACGAUACGAUACGAGUCAAGUCGUCUACACGACUUUCAAGGAAUCGAAUGCGGUCCGUAUACUCCAGCAAUCGUUUUCCUGCCAGAUUCAGCUAUUUAAUGAAUGCAAGAUAUAACAUAUAUUAGAUUUCAUUAUGAAUUGAAUGUAAACGAAUAUAAUCUAUACAGUUGCUAGUUUUUCGCUAACAUUCGCACAAGACCCGGUGGAAUUUUCUUUAUAGUAUAGUCCCUAUAAAAUUGAACAGGUAGCUUACCUUCUCGGACAGCUCGGAAUUUUCGACACGCAAAUCAUGCAGCUUAUCGGUAAUCUCAGCGAUGAGACUCUCCUUUAGACCGAUUUCCUUUAAAAGGCAUCCCUUCAUCUGAAAUGAGGAUUAAAAGUUUUAUUAGUUUAUAGCUCCCGCUCGCUACCUGUGACCAUCUGCGCUAGUCUACCUACAUGCUCAAACUCAUAUGGCAUAAUGUGGUGGCUCUCGUUAUCGUGGUGCUCUUCGGUUAGCUUCACGUUUCUUAGUUUUUCUAGUUCCAUCUUGGCCAUCAUUUUCUCUGAAAUGCAAACGAUUAUGAAAUUACUUGUAAAAAAAUUAUGAAAGUAAUGCAUUCGAAGCAUUCUAACCUUUGUUGAGAACUUUAAUGAGCUCGUCCUUCUCCAUUUGCUGCUCCUCCAGCAAGGCCUUUUCGUAGCGCACCACCUCCAGCUGGGUACGAAUACCGCGCAGCUCCUUGGUGCGUUGCUCCAGUAGCUCCGUUUUCGGGGUCGAAGGAGGUGGCAUUUCGCAGCCAUUCAGGCGAAGUUGUUCGCGAUGAUUGCGCAACUGUGGCGUGCUGCUCGACGGCUGUGACGAUGACGAUGAGGGCGUGGAUGGGCAUGGUGCAUCAUCGCUCCUCGGAUCGGGACUCAGGCUGCUGCUGGGAAGACAUGGGCUGACUGAGGUCGAAACCCCUUGUCGGUAAACAACUGCAACGUUGGCGAUCGCCUGGCUAAGAUAUUCGCGCGUCAACAGCCUGUCCACGGUCUCUCGAAAGAAGGAUGCGAUGCAUGUCUGUGUCAGCUCCGGCAGUUUAUUGCAGAUGUUGUGAAAGAACAAGCUGGGCUUCUUAACGCACGAGUAAUGCAACAGGAGCGUGUAAACGUAAAGGCAAUCCAAAGGCAGAUCGACUUCCUUGUCAUCCUGUUGUGCAAUGAACUCGGGAUAGUUAUCUGCAUGGGAAAAUUUACAAGUUAGUGGGUUCAUGAAGUUGGAAGUGCGCUAAAUUCUCAUACUAAGGCUUCACUAUUUAUUAAUGUUUCCCUAUACCCUAUGAGAAACUAGGAAAAUAGGUAAAAAAAAACUUACGUGCUAGGAAUUCCUGCACAAGGGGGCUUUGUUCUGUGGGCUGAUCCUGCAGCUCAUUCUUCCCCUUAACAUUUUCCGUCUCCUGGAUCUUUUGAAUGAAGACCGAAAAGAAGGAGUCCAGAUCCGACUGCUCCAAGGUAAUGUAGUUCGAUUCGAUGAAGUGGCACUCGCCAAUCUGCCGCAGAAUUGGGUUAAUCUAAAUGAUUCCCAGUGCGUGAUGCGCAAUGCGAGAUUUACAUACCCACUGGAGUAGGACCUUGCGCCAGCUGCGCGUGUCCAUUGCGAAUUUUUGUGCGUUUUUAUGGGUGUGUGUGCGCCCGUAUAUGUAUGCUCAAUGUCUGCGUAGACUAAUCACACUAUCAUUGUUGGCAUCCAGUAACGGAUGUUUUCCAGAACACGGCACAGCACACAAAACAAUGUACGCGAAACAAACGGGUUUCGAUCGAAAACGCAAUUAAACAAAAAAUAUAUUUAGCACAAAUGCUCACGAAAACCGAAUAUUUGUUUUUUUUUUUGUAUUUUCCAACCAGAAGCACAACUGCUCCGAACGAGCAAUGAAAAUUUAAUGACUAAACUGAAGUCCGCAGGGCAACAAACAAUUUUGACAGUUCCACAAACGAAAACAUAGGUAACUAGAUACGAAAAAAUGCAACAACUUCUCGUUUCGGCGGCGCGUCGUUUAAUUCAAAUGCCGCAGCGCGACGCCAUGCGAGGUGCGCUCGGGUAUUGUUAUCGGGCGAUCGAUACUUUCCAGCUGCAAGCCAGGCCGCGUCCACUAGAUGCGUUUCUGCUAUCGAUAUCUGUGCGAAAGAAGUGGCUUGUGUUUCCACCAUGGCAUAUUGCAUAAUUCAAGAAACAAAUGUUUCACAUGAAAUUUGAUAAAUAAUUCAAUCUACUUUGUUACGAACUGCUUUCCUGCCUUAGUGGAACGGCUCCAACUGCAAUAACCUGUUGCUUUAAUACCAAAGUAUCCAAAGUAUAUAGUGAUAUUUUCAAUUGAAAUUAUCAAUUAAUAUAUUAAUAUGUAAUUAAUAUAUAUUAUCUAAUGUAAUUUUCCAAGUAUGGAAAAACUAGUUGAAUCCCGCUAUGCUGAAAAACUAAGCAAAUUCCAUAAUUGAAACCGCCUUUUGUGUUUACCCCAAUCUCACACAUAGAUGGCGGCACUGGUCUACAAUGCGAAUUUCCUGCCAAGUAAACAAGCAACCAAGUGGCUUCUAUUUUGGCGGGGAAUUCCAAAAUCCGAUGGCCAAUAGCGACCGAGUGUGGCCCACCACAUGUAAACUAUUAAAUUGUAAUAACAAUAAUCAAUGACCGAAAACAAUGUGCCCGGAAUUGCCACCCACCCAUCCUCGUUUCUGGGCACGCACACGAGCACAGGGUAGCCGAAAAUCUAGUUAUAGUGCUGAUCGUUAAAAAUAACGCCACCAUUAAUUCGGACAAACAAUGGAAAUGCACCGCUGAUGUACAUGUAAAGCAAAAAAAAAAAAUCAGAGAAAAAACCAAACAUUUUAACGUAAGGAAGUAGGCAGAAUAAACAAUAUGGUGGUGCGAAAACGACAAGCGGUUCAAAAACUAUUGUCUAAAUUAAGCGUUACAAAAAGAAAGCCAUCAGCUUGAUCGAAAAUCAAUAAUUACAAUACUUGAAUUUCAACUUGAAAACACCUCGCCAAAAAAUCUCGAACUAAACUAUUCCAUAACUAUUAGUUUUACAACUCACUUAAAUCAAGUUGUAAACACACGAUUUUGAAAAUAUUCAAAAGCCAGAUGGGCUGAACUAUGUGCACAAUACAAUUCUCACGUAUUUAGCAUUGAUUUCGUUACGAAGAUCGGAACAUUUCCUUCCUUUUGAUUGCCGUCUAUUUAUAAAGGCGAAUUUCCUGUUUAUAUUUUUUAUAAUACAUUUAUUUAGUCGACACAAUGGCGAGGUCGGGCCUCCGCCCCCCCCCCCCCAAAAAAAAAAAAAAAAGAAAGAACUACUCCACUUCCACAUGCAUAUGUACAUCCAUCCAGAUGGUUAUAUCUCACGGAAUCGAGCUGACACGCACCACCUGCGCCAGUGGCAACGUGUCCAGGCGCUGUAGUCGCUGUCGUUUCUCGCCGGGAUUGAGCUUGGCCGCAGCACUGGCCUGGCCACCUGGACUGGCGACCGUACUGCGACCUGAUCUCGUACCCGGACCAGAUGCGCCAGCUGAAUCCGUGCUAUCGCUCUGCGCCUCCACCAGUUUGACAUGGGCGAUGGUCUGACCGAAGAGCUUCUGCCGGAAACUGGGCCUCUUGGGCGCUCCACGAUGCACGCCAAUGUCCGGCGUAUGCGAGCGCUGAUGGCUACGUUGAUGAUGAUCAUCUCGCUCCACGGAGCGCUCCUUGUGACGAUGGCGUCGCUGCUUCUUGCGGUGCUCACCGCCACCGUUGGGCAGCAGCUCGUUGACGUAGUGCAGCGAACUGGAGGCACUGCCCGUGGAAUCGGUGCCGGAGUGACCAUGAUGCGAUUGCGCCUUCUUCGCGUGGCGCGCAUGCUUCUCCUCCAGCUCGAUUUUGUUCUUUAGCGUCACCUCCUCGAUGUGCCGCUCCUGGAAAAUGAAAGAGCAUCGCUGAGCAUCAUUCAUUGGCUUUCCUCGUAUUUGGUGUGUCCUACAAACAUGGCACGCCUGUGCUUGUCCCUCUUGGCCAGGACGACCACCCAGGCGCCGUAAGAGAGCAUGAUGCCCGCCGGUACCAGGACGCCAGCCAGCGAGUUCUCCGACUUCCGGACGCAGGCAUGGUAGACGGCCAGGAAGAGCACUGUGGAAAUGGAUUUGAGUUGAGUUCGUGGCUACAGUCGUGCUUCGCUAACAACGACCAAUUCAAAAUGAGCAUGCGAAAGUCGGUGGCAAUUCGAUUUGCGUGCUCUAAUUUAGUUUAGUUUUUAGUUUUGUUUACCAGUUAAGAAUUCGAAAAUGAUUUUAAUAAUGGUUUUCUCAAAAAUCUAAAAGAUCUUUUCAUGUAAGCAUUAUUAAAGAGAUACUUAUGAAUUUAUACCUAUGUAUGUGAAUAUUUUUCACUUGGCUGGUUUGUGUUAGGCAGGCCUGACUGUAGUAUUACAAAAAUCCCAAAAACUUACCCAGAAAACAGACGAUCACAGCCACCAGACGUCCAUUGGCUUUUCGCUCCUCCUGCAAAAGGACAACAUGGAUAUAUGGGAAUAUGAGAAACGGGGUCACCAAUUCCAAUCAAUUUGCAAAGUUGCAAAAUUGGAUUGAGAAUUUUUCAGGGCUUUUCAGGGUUGGCUCUCUUUUUGUUUUUGUGAGUGAUGCCAUAAAAACAAUUGUUUACAAUUUUCACGUUCCGUGCAUAUAGAGGCUUAUACACGGCAAAAAAAAGUGCAAAUAGGUAAAAGCAAAGAAAUCUACGUGCAUUUCUAUGCUGGACAAAAAGAAAAAAGUGAUAGUUUCUUGCAAAUAACAAAAAGUUAAGUGCCUUGGAUUUUGAAAAUAAGAUUUCAAAAAUGCUUAAAUCAACUUGGAUGCCAAUUAAUUUGUUUUUAAUUGCACAAAAGUUUCCGAAAGGGAAACUCAAUACCGAUUUGAUUAUCUUACACUUCAUAAAAUGGCGUGAUUUACACAAAAACGCUUGGGCAUUUUUUUUUUUUUUGUGUAUAUCUGGGACUUUUGUUGAUUUCGCUUCGUUAUUUGUUGAUCGCAAAAUGCGUGCCUGAUUUUAUACAAUUUGUAUUAAAUAGGUUUGGAAAUUUUCAAAAAAUAAUGCGUAUGCAUGUCAAACUCAAAUCAAUUAAUUUGGAAACACGCUUCUUCCAGUGUCAUUUUCUGCACUUGCUGUACAUUUUCCAGUUAACUAUUAAAUGGCAAAUGCAUUCUUAACAUCCACUGUAUGUGCAAAAAGAUCUAAGGCGAAAACUAAACGAACAUUUCGGAUUUUAUGAUCGGACACACAUUCUAUUCCAGUGAUUCCCAUCGAUAAUGAUGGCGCCACAAACGAUGGCGUCGUACAAACUUUGAGAGACGUCUGCAAAUCUCGGAAAAGCUGAGGAAAAUCUGAAAGUCACAGUGAUCCAUUCGUAAAUGACGUGCACGUAAAUCAAGGUGUUUCCAAUGAAUCACAACACGGUGAAAAAAAAAAAAAAAAACGAGAGCACUCAUGGAAUGUCCAUAUGGUUAUUGUUCAAGUUUUGUUUAGUUUUAAGCGAUUCAGUAAUAUAUGUAGAUGAAUGAAAAAGAUCACAGUCAUUCGAUUUUUAAUUGAGUACUGAAAAGUUAAUUAUUAAGUUCAGGUUUCUAAACUUGCGAAUUUGGCAUAUUUAAGAUAUUGUAUCUUCAUUUCGCUUCUUAAGAUACUUUUCAAAAGCACCGCCUCAAAUUCAAACUUACGCGCGACUUGAGGUCGAGGAUCUCGUUGAGAUUCUCCUGAAUGAUCUCCUCCUCCGACAUGGACGUAAUGCUCUUCCGGGCCACCAGGGAGGUGAGGGCAUCCGGCGACUUGGGCACCGCCGGAUUGGAGCACACUGUGCCCGUUCCACGCGGCAUGGCGGCCGGAAAUUUUGGCACCGGCUGGCGAUUUGAGGCGGUCGCGGACAUGGGCGUGGCUCUGCGACGGAAUAAGUGGCUUACGUACUAGUUCGGUUUGAACGGACCGCAAAAAAACAAUCGAGUUUCGGAACGGAGUGUAUUCAAAUUUUCGCAAAAAUUUCACAAUUUGUAUGAAGUGAAGAUCGCGUCCGGGCGGCGAUCAAAAAUCGAGUGAGAGGCGAAAUUGUGUGGUUACGAGCCCAAACCUCCUCGUUCCUCUUUUUUUUCGCGACUUCGUUCGAUUUCUGCGGGCGAUUUGUUGUUAUUUGUUGUUUAUUUACAUUGCAGUAAAUAAUUGUACGGCUGGCUGUGUGUGCCCCAAGUUCAUAUCGAAACUGAUGCGUAUAUAUAUAUAUAUAGGUAUGUGCGUAUGUGUGUAUGCACACAUCGACCGAAAUAUGCAGCAAUUAAAUUGUUUAUUUUUAUGCAAAAGAUUCGCAGCUAUUUUGAAAAACGAUUAUCGAUACAAAUGAGCGGCAGAAGGUAGGGGAAAAACAUGUUUUUUUAAUUCUGUUCUGUAUAUUUAAAAAAAUUUU
ensembl:ncRNA asRNA:CR46473 antisense RNA:CR46473